rnacentral:rRNA from 1 species
UACGGAGGGUGCGAGCGUUGUCCGGAAUCAUUGGGCGUAAAGGGCGCGUAGGUGGCCCGGUCAGUCUUUGGUGAAAGCGCGGGGCUCAACCCUGCGUCGGCCAGGGAUACUGCCGCGGCUGGAGCACUGUAGAGGCAGGCGGAAUUCCGGGUGUAGCGGUGGAAUGCGUAGAGAUCCGGAAGAACACCGGUGGCGAAGGCGGCCUGCUGGGCAGUUGCUGACACUGAGGCGCGACAGCGUGGGGAGCAAACAGGG